GGAGGAGCUUCCUCCCCUUAACUCUGGUUUGUGCAAGCUGCACAAACUGGACGUCACAUUGGAGGCUAUGGAUCCUCGGUUUGGAUGAGGACAUCUUCAUGGGGCAUGCCACAGCUGAGAACCCUGGUUGGGAGUGUCAGCGUCUAAUGGGAAGAACCUGUUGAAGGACACACCUGCCAAAGGCUGCUUAAGAAGAGUGAUAGAGGAACCAUCAAAGGGAAGAUCUUCCACUCUAGAUCUAGCAUCAGGCGUGAGACCGGAAGACCCAAGCCAGGCAUGGCGACGGAAGUUGCCAUCACUUUAGCAGCCCCUUCCAUGGAGUGGCGAAUCGCAUGGAGUUCCUGCUUGGACACCUGCGUGGCUUCAUGGAGGAAAACUUUGGCAGGGCCCUGCUGCUCUUCAGGGAGAUGAUCUUAAAAGGGGGCAACAUGGUCCCAAAGAAAGGAAUGGUAUUUGUCAUAGUAUGCCUGGUAAUUUGUAAUUCUUGUCAAUA